GAGUUUGAUCCUGGCUCAGGAUGAACGCUGGCGGCGUGCUUAACACAUGCAAGUCGAACGAUGAAGCCCAGCUUGCUGGGUGGAUUAGUGGCGAACGGGUGAGUAACACGUGAGUAACCUGCCCUUAACUCUGGGAUAAGCCUGGGAAACUGGGUCUAAUACCGGAUAGGAGCGCCUACCGCAUGGUGGGUGUUGGAAAGAUUUAUCGGUUUUGGAUGGACUCGCGGCCUAUCAGCUUGUUGGUGAGGUAAUGGCUCACCAAGGCGACGACGGGUAGCCGGCCUGAGAGGGUGACCGGCCACACUGGGACUGAGACACGGCCCAGACUCCUAUGGGAGGCAGCAGUGGGGAAUAUUGCACAAUGGGCGCAAGCCUGAUGCAGCGACGCCGCGUGAGGGAUGACGGCCUUCGGGUUGUAAACCUCUUUCAGUAGGGAAGAAGCGAAAGUGACGGUACCUGCAGAAGAAGCACCGGCUAACUACGUG
rnacentral:rRNA from 1 species